GCUGGGCAUAGUGGCGCAUGCCUGUAGUCCCAGCUACUUGGGAGGCUGAGGCAGGAGAAUCGCUUGAACCCGGGAGGCAGAGGUUGUAGUGAGCUGAGAUCGUGCCACUACAGCCCGGGUGACAGAGCGAGACUCUGUCUCAA
rnacentral:SRP_RNA from 1 species